rnacentral:misc_RNA from 1 species
AGUCAACCCUCAAUUAUAUUUAUUUCCAUUUUGAAGAACUGCAUUUAAGACCACGAAGAGAAAGGUCUUGGUGAUGUUAGAAACUCGGACCACCCACCUCCAUUAAGUCCUUGCUAUUGACUGAUGAAAGUUUCCAAGAGCUGGACCUUCUUCUGGUUUCUUUCUCACAAAUUGAAUCCUCGAAGAGCUGCUAUGUACAAUUUCGACUGACCCAUUUCACAGGUUUUGGGAAAUAAUUGUGAUGGAGUUGGAACUGACCCUCCUGCAAUUU